GAUGAACGCUGGCGGCGUGCCUAAUACAUGCAAGUCGAGCGAACGGACGAGAAGCUUGCUCCUCUGAUGUUAGCGGCGGACGGGUGAGUAACACGUGGAUAACCUACCUAUAAGACUGGGAUAACUUCGGGAAACCGGAGCUACUACCGGAUAAUAUUUUGAACCGCAUGGUUCAAAAGUGAAAGACGGUUUUGCUGUCACUUAUAGAUGGAUCCGCGCCGCAUUAGCUAGUUGGUAAGGUAACGGCUUACCAAGGCAACGAUGCGUAGCCGACCUGAGAGGGUGAUCGGCCACACUGGAACUGAGACACGGUCCAGACUCCUACGGGAGGCAGCAGUAGGGAAUCUUCCGCAAUGGGCGAAAGCCUGACGGAGCAACGCCGCGUGAGUGAUGAAGGUCUUCGGAUCGUAAAACUCUGUUAUUAGGGAAGAACAAAUGUGUAAGUAACUGUGCACGUCUUGACGGUACCUAAUCAGAAAGCCACGGCUAACUACGUG
rnacentral:rRNA from 1 species